rnacentral:rRNA from 1 species
CAAAAACAUAACUAUAUGUAUAGUAUAUAUAGCUAUUUCUGCUCAAUGUGAAUAUAAAUAGCCGCAGUACCUUGACUGUGCAAAGGUAGCAUAAUCAGUUGGCUUAUAAUUGAAGUCUGGAAUGAAGGAAUAAUGUGGGGAAAUACUGUCUCUUUUAUGUCGUGGGAAAUUAUUUAGUAGGUGAAAAUCCCUACACACUAAAAAAUAGACGAGAAGACCCUAGAAAUUUUUACUAGAAAAUUAUGGUUCUACUCUUUUUGUUGGGGCGACAUAGUAGCAUUAUUAACCUACUGUUUUAUUUAUAAGUAUUAAUUUGGAAGCAUAAAUAAAUUACUCUAGGGAUAACAGCAUAAUAUUAAAAAGUUUGUGACCUCGAUGUUGGACUAGGAAACUAUAGUUUAGAAGACUACUAGAUAAGCUCUGUUCGAGCUUUAUACUCCUACGUGAUCUGA